rnacentral:rRNA from 1 species
UUGGAGGGCAAGUCUGGUGCCAGCAGCCGCGGUAAUUCCAGCUCCAAUAGCGUAUAUUAAAGUUGUUGCAGUUAAAAAGCUCGUAGUUGAAUUUCGGGGUUCUACCGUUGGUCGGGCAAUAGUCUGUACUGGCGUGUAGAAUUUCUACCUUCUGGGGAACUAUCAUGUUAUUUAUUUAGCGUGGUAGGAAACCAGGACCUUUACCUUGAAAAAAUUAGAGUGUUCAAAGCAGGCUUACGUCUGAAUACAUUAGCAUGGAAUAGUAAAAUAGGACGGUGGUCCUGUUUUGUUGGUUUCUGAAUCACCGUAAUGAUUAAUAGGGAUAGUUGGGGGCAUUAGUAUUCAAUUGUCAGAGGUGAAAUUCUUGGAUUUAUUGAAGACUAACUUCUGCGAAAGCAUUUGCCAAGGAUGUUUUCAUUAAUCAAGAACGAAAGUUAGGGGAUCGAAGACGAUCAGAUACCGUCGUAGUCUUAACCAUAAACUAUGCCGACUAGGGAUCGGACGAUGUUAAUUUUUCUUGACUCGUUCGGCGCCUUACGGGAAAC